rnacentral:rRNA from 1 species
UACAGAGGGGGCAAGCGUUAUUCGGAAUUAUUGGGCGUAAAGGGCGCGUAGGCGGCUUGGCAAGUGGAUGGUGAAAUCCCUCGGCUUAACCGAGGAACUGCCAUCCAGACUGCUUUGCUUGAGGCCGGGAGAGGUGAGUGGAAUUCCCAGUGUAGCGGUGAAAUGCGUAGAUAUUGGGAGGAACACCAGUGGCGAAGGCGGCUCACUGGACCGGUUCUGACGCUGAGGCGCGAAAGCCAGGGGAGCAAACGGG